rnacentral:rRNA from 1 species
UACGAAGGGGGCUAGCGUUGCUCGGAAUCACUGGGCGUAAAGGGUGCGUAGGCGGGUCUUUAAGUCAGGGGUGAAAUCCUGGAGCUCAACUCCAGAACUGCCUUUGAUACUGAGUAUCUUGAGUACGGGAGAGGUGAGUGGAACUGCGAGUGUAGAGGUGAAAUUCGUAGAUAUUCGCAAGAACACCAGUGGCGAAGGCGGCUCACUGGCCCGUUACUGACGCUGAGGCACGAAAGCGUGGGGAGCAAACAGG